GAUGAACGCUGGCGGCGCGCCUAACACAUGCAAGUCGAACGAUUAAAGCACCUUCGGGUGUGUAUAAAGUGGCGAACGGCUGAGUAACACGUGGGCAACCUGCCCCUUUCAUUGGGAUAGCCACGGGAAACCGUGGAUAAUACCGAAUACUUCGAGACUUCCGCAUGGAAGACUCGAGAAAGCUCCGGCGGAGAGGGAUGGGCCCGCGGCCUGUUAGCUUGUUGGUGGGGUAACGGCCUACCAAGGCAAUGAUGGGUAGCUGGGUUGAGAGACCGACCAGCCAGAUUGGGACUGAGACACGGCCCAGACUCCUACGGGAGGCAGCAGUGGGGAAUCUUGCACAAUGGGCGAAAGCCUGAUGCAGCGACGCCGCGUGCGGGAUGAAGGCCUUCGGGUUGUAAACCGCUUUCAGCAGGGACGAGGCGAAAGUGACGGUACCCGCAGAAGAAGCCCCGGCUAACUACGUG
rnacentral:rRNA from 1 species